rfam:Schistosoma rodhaini strain Burundi genome assembly, scaffold: SROB_scaffold0008993
UUCCAGCUGACGAGACCCAAAUAGGAUGAAACGUGCGUCCUGGAU